AGGACGAACGCUGGCGGCGUGCCUAACACAUGCAAGUCGAGCGAGGAGAUCCUUCGGGAUGAUCCUAGCGGCGGACGGGUGAGUAACACGUGGGCAACCUGCCUCAUAGAGAGGAAUAGCCUUCCGAAAGGGAGAUUAAUACCUCAUAACAUUGCAGUUUCGCGUGGAACAGCAAUUAAAGGAGUAAUCCGCUAUGAGAUGGGCCCGCGGCGCAUUAGCUAGUUGGUGAGGUAACGGCUCACCAAGGCGACGAUGCGUAGCCGACCUGAGAGGGUGAUCGGCCACAUUGGGACUGAGACACGGCCCAGACUCCUACGGGAGGCAGCAGUGGGGAAUAUUGCACAAUGGGGGAAACCCUGAUGCCAGCAACGCCGCGUGAGUGAUGACGGCCUUCGGGUUGUAAAGCUCUGUCUUCAGGGACGAUAAUGACGGUACCUGAGGAGGAAGCCACGGCUAACUACGUGCCAGCCGCCGC
rnacentral:rRNA from 1 species